rfam:Ictidomys tridecemlineatus contig006989, whole genome shotgun sequence.
AGAGCUGGGGCUCAGUGGCAGAGCGCUUACCUAGCAUGUGUGAGGCACUGGGUUCAAUCCUCAGCAUCUCAU